rnacentral:rRNA from 1 species
UACGAAGGGGGCUAGCGUUGCUCGGAAUCACUGGGCGUAAAGCGCACGUAGGCGGCCUUCUAAGUCAGGGGUGAAAUCCUGGAGCUCAACUCCAGAACUGCCUUUGAUACUGGAGAGCUUGAGUCCGGAAGAGGUGAGUGGAACUCCGAGUGUAGAGGUGAAAUUCGUAGAUAUUCGGAAGAACACCAGUGGCGAAGGCGGCUCACUGGUCCGGUACUGACGCUGAUGUGCGAAAGCGUGGGGAGCAAACAGG